CUUGCCAUCAGAUGUGCCCAGAUGGGAUUAGCUUGUUGGUGAGGUAACGGCUCACCAAGGCGACGAUCCCUAGCUGGUCUGAGAGGAUGACCAGCCACACUGGAACUGAGACACGGUCCAGACUCCUACGGGAGGCAGCAGUGGGGAAUAUUGCACAAUGGGCGCAAGCCUGAUGCAGCCAUGCCGCGUGUAUGAAGAAGGCCUUCGGGUUGUAAAGUACUUUCAGCGGGGAGGAAGGUGUUGCGGUUAAUAACCGCAGCAAUUGACGUUACCCGCAGAAGAAGCACCGGCUAACUCCGUGCCAGCAGCCGCGGUAAUACGGAGGGUGCAAGCGUUAAUCGGAAUUACUGGGCGUAAAGCGCACGCAGGCGGUCUGUCAAGUCGGAUGUGAAAUCCCCGGGCUCAACCUGGGAACUGCAUUCGAAACUGGCAGGCUUGAGUCUUGUAGAGGGGGGUAGAAUUCCAGGUGUAGCGGUGAAAUGCGUAGAGAUCUGGAGGAAUACCGGUGGCGAAGGCGGCCCCCUGGACAAAGACUGACGCUCAGGUGCGAAAGCGUGGGGAGCAAACAGGAUUAGAUACCCUGGUAGUCCACGCCGUAAACGAUGUCUACUUGGAGGUUGUGCCCUUGAGGCGUGGCUUCCGGAGCUAACGCGUUAAGUAGACCGCCUGGGGAGUACGGCCGCAAGGUUAAAACUCAAAUGAAUUGACGGGGGCCCGCACAAGCGGUGGAGCAUGUGGUUUAAUUCGAUGCAACGCGAAGAACCUUACCUGGUCUUGACAUCCACAGAAGAAUCCAGAGAUGGAUUUGUGCCUUCGGGAACUGUGAGACAGGUGCUGCAUGGCUGUCGUCAGCUCGUGUUGUGAAAUGUUGGGUUAAGUCCCGCAACGAGCGCAACCCUUAUCCUUUGUUGCCAGCGGUCCGGCCGGGAACUCAAAGGAGACUGCCAGUGAUAAACUGGAGGAAGGUGGGGAUGACGUCAAGUCAUCAUGGCCCUUACGACCAGGGCUACACACGUGCUACAAUGGCGCAUACAAAGAGAAGCGACCUCGCGAGAGCAAGCGGACCUCAUAAAGUGCGUCGUAGUCCGGAUUGGAGUCUGCAACUCGACUCCAUGAAGUCGGAAUCGCUAGUAAUCGUGGAUCAGAAUGCCACGGUGAAUACGUUCCCGGGCCUUGUACACACCGCCCGUCACACCAUGGGAGUGGGUUGCAAAAGAAGUAGGUAGCUUAACCUUCGGGAGGGCGCUUACCACUUUGUGAUUCAUGACUGGGGUGAAGUCGUAACAAGGUAACCGUAGGGGAACCUGC
rnacentral:rRNA from 1 species